rnacentral:miRNA from 1 species
CAAAGUGAGGGAGGGACGUUU